UCCGGUUUGUCACCGGCGGUCUCCUUAGAGUUCCCACCAUUACGUGCUGGCAACUAAGGACAAGGGUUGCGCUCGUUGCGGGACUUAACCCAACAUUUCACAACACGAGCUGACGACAGCCAUGCAGCACCUGUCACUGCGCUCCCGAAGGCACCAAGGUGUCUCCACCAAGUUCGCAGGAUGUCAAGGGGUGGUAAGGUUUUUCGCGUUGCAUCGAAUUAAACCACAUGCUCCACCGCUUGUGCGGGCCCCCGUCAAUUCCUUUGAGUUUUAGCCUUGCGGCCGUAGUCCCCAGGCGGGAUGCUUAACGCGUUAACUGCGGCUCACAGGGGGUCGAUACCCCCCACACCUAGUUGCCACCGUUUAGGGCGUGGACUAC
rnacentral:misc_RNA from 1 species